UUGUUGAUAUUGGCAAUAUUGUGUAAAGACGCUCUAUCUCUCAUUCUUUUCUUACGUUUUUUUUCCGGUUCUGUUUUUUUUUUUUAUACAUAACGACAGUUACAAUUACACUACAAACCAAAAAAAUAUUUGUCAGUAAAUUAUAAUUACGUUAUAAUUACGUUUCAUUGCGAUACAAGAUGAUGAAUAGCAAUAUGGAUGUUGAAAACAGUCAAGAAACAACACGAAAUAAUGACUCAAAUAAUGAAGAAAAUCAAGAAUAUUCUUCUUCUCAAACAAAUAUUUCAAAGAUUUUUCACAGUCAAAUCACAAUUACAAAUGACGUACUACCUGUGAACACUGAUAAGCAACUAAAUCAUGCACAGAAUGUUACACAAAAUAAUGAAAAAAGUAAUCAGCAAAUUAUUGAACAAAAUAAUCAACAAAAUAACCAAAAAAUUACCAACAAAAUAAUCAAUAUAAUCCAUUUAUACAAUCAAUUGGUAAUGAAACAUCAAGUACACGUCCAGUUCUGGUUACUAACCUGGAUAAUAACAAUAACAUUCAAAAUAAUCAAAUCAGAAAAAAUAAUGUAUUUGGUAGUUACAACAACAAAGCUACUGCAUAUAAUAACAAAAAAAUUAGUGGAUUUAAUUAUUCCACUCGUUAUUACAAUAACAGUAAAUUCAGCAAGCAUCAACGUGAUUACCAAAAUGAUAGAUAUGUUGGACGAGGUAUUGGAUAUGAUAGACGAGGUCGUGGAUAUAGUAGCCGAGGUGGUGGAUAUGUUCGUGAUAUUAGUCGUGAUGGAAAUGGUGGUAGUAAUACAUGUGGUGGAAAUGUCGGUAACAUUCCACGUAGUGAAUAUACUCAGUCAAGAUUUUAUGGACAAAAUAGUGUCCACAAUAAGACGUAUAAAAGAAAACGAGCUGGAGCUCGUCAAACUGAGAGAGAUUUGAUAUAUUGGCGUGGCAAAGCCAAAACUCAAAAUCCAAACAGAAUUUUUAUUGAAUCAGCCAGUAAUUGUCAUUUCCAUUAAUUAAAACAUUGAUAAAUCAUCAUAAUAAACUAUUAUUUGAUAUUUCAAUAUUAAUCAUCAUUAUUAUGAACCGUCGACGGACAAGAAAAAUUUCGUAUUGUUAAGUAUCCUUUGAGUAUACAAAUCGUGAUAAAAUUAAAAUUUACAGUAAAAAUUAAAUUUAAUUGUAUUUUAAAUACAAAUAAUCCAUAUAAUUAGCUGUUUUUUUGUGAAGUUUUGAAAAUUACUCUAUUAUUAAUUCUUUUUUUUUUUUUUAAUUUUGUCCGUCUUUUAUUUUUUUGAAUUUUUGAAAAUAGAAAAUAUAGUUUUCAUAGAAAAAAAAAAAUUAAAAAAAAAAACACAGCUUUGUUGAUCAACGUAGAUAAUUACUUGAAAAAUAAAAACUUUAAAAUCCCAA